CAGUCGCCGCGGGAAUACGAAGGGGGCUAGCGUUGCUCGGAAUGACUGGGCGUAAAGGGCGCGUAGGCGGCGAUCAAAGUCAGGCGUGAAAUUCCUGGGCUCAACCUGGGGGCUGCGCUUGAUACUUGGUUGCUUGAGUGGGGAAGAGGGUCGUGGAAUUCCCAGUGUAGAGGUGAAAUUCGUAGAUAUUGGGAAGAACACCGGUGGCGAAGGCGGCGACCUGGUCCUUUACUGACGCUGAGGCGCGAAAGCGUGGGGAGCAAACAGGAUUAGAUACCCCUGUAGUCCCUGUCUCUUAUAA
rnacentral:rRNA from 1 species